rnacentral:tRNA from 1 species
GGAGAGGUGACCGAGCGGUUGAAGGUGCUCGCCUGGAAAGCGUGUGUAGUGCAAGCUACCGAGGGUUCGAAUCCCUCCCUCUCCGCCA